GACGAACGCUGGCGGCGUGCUUAACACAUGCAAGUCGAACGGAAAGGCCCUUCGGGGUACUCGAGUGGCGAACGGGUGAGUAACACGUGGGUGAUCUGCCCUGCACUUUGGGAUAGCCUGGGAAACUGGGUCUAAUACCGAAUAGGACCACGCGCUUCAUGGUGUGUGGUGGAAAGCUUUUGCGGUGUGGGAUGGGCCCGCGGCCUAUCAGCUUGUUGGUGGGGUAAUGGCCUACCAAGGCGACGACGGGUAGCCGGCCUGAGAGGGUGACCGGCCACACUGGGACUGAGAUACGGCCCAGACUCCUACGGGAGGCAGCAGUGGGGAAUAUUGCACAAUGGGCGCAAGCCUGAUGCAGCGACGCCGCGUGAGGGAUGACGGCCUUCGGGUUGUAAACCUCUUUCACCAGGGACGAAGCGUAAGUGACGGUACCUGGAGAAGAAGCACCGGCCAACUACGUG
rnacentral:rRNA from 1 species